UAUGAUCCAGAGUACCACGGGACACGUGAAACCCUGUGGGAAGCAGGAGGGACCACCCUCCAAGGCUAAAUACUACCUAGUGACCGAUAGCGUAUAGUACCGUGAGGGAAAGGUGAAAAGAACCCCGGGAGGGGAGUGAAAUAGAACCUGAAACCCUGCACUUACAAGCUGUGGAAGCACAUGUCUUGGGUGACGGCGUACUUUUUGUAGAACGGGCAAACGAGUUACGUUAAGGAGCAAGGUUACGGACUUAAGGUGCGGAGCCGUAGCGAAAGCGAGUUUUAACUGAGCGUUCAGUUACUUGACGUAGACCCGAAACCGGGCGACCUAACCAUGAGCAGGAUGAAGCGAAAGUAAAAUUGCGUGGAGGUCCGAACCCACGAGCGUUGAAAAGCUCGGGGAUGACUUGUGGGUAGCGGUGAAAUUCCAAUCGAGCCCGGAGAUAGCUGGUUCUCCCCGAAAUAGCUUUAGGGCUAGCCUCAAGGUGAG
rnacentral:rRNA from 1 species